rnacentral:rRNA from 1 species
GAGGCUACCGCUAUUGGAGUUCGAUUAAGCCAUGCGAGUCGAGAGUCUUAGGGACUCGGCGUACCGCUCAGUAACACGUGGGUAACCUGCCCUAUGCUGGGGAAUAACCUCGGGAAACUGAGAAUAAUGCCCCAUAGUUCACUACGCCUGGAACGGUGAGUGGAUGAAAGCUCCGGCGGCAUAGGAUGGGCCUGCGGCGUAUCAGGUCGUAGGGGGUGUAACGUACCCUCUAGCCAUCGACGCGUACGGGUGUUGGGAGACAUAGCCCGGAGAUGGAUUCUGAGACACGAAUCCAGACCCUACGGGGUGCAGCAGGCGCGAAAACUUGGCAAUGCGAGAAAUCGUGACCAGGGAACUCCAAGUGGCUGGGGUAAGACCCAGUCUUUUCUUGACUCUUCAAAGGUCUUGGAAUAAGAGGUGGGUAAGGACGGUGCCAGCCGCCGCGGUAAUACCGGCGCCUCAAGUGGUAGUCGAUUUUAUUGGGCCUAAAACGUCCGUAGCCUGUUUGGUACAUUCGUGGGUAAAUCAACCAGCUCAACUGGUUGAAUUCUGCGAGCACGGCCAGACUUGGGACCGGGAGAGGUGUGGGGUACGCUCAGGGUAGGGGUAAAAUCCUGUCAUCCUGAGCGGACCACCUGUUGCGAAGGCGCCACACUAGAACGGAUCCGACGGUCAGGGACGAAGCCUAGGGGCACGAACCGGAUUAGAUACCCGGGUAGUCCUAGGUGUAAACGCUGUGGACUUGGUGUUGGGGAUGAUCCGAUCAUUCUCAGUGCCGAAGCGAAGGUGAUAAGUCCACUGCCUGGGGAGUACGGUCGCAAGGCUGAAACUUAAAGGAAUUGGCGGGGGAGCACCGC